rnacentral:lncRNA from 1 species
CACGUCAGCACGUCGUGAUUGUUUGACUUUCCGGCGCCGUGGGAGACGGACGUUAAGGAACGGGCUAAAAGAUCAACUGAUUCUUCUAGCAGCUCUAGACAAUCCUCGUAAGCCGACCUUAUCCGUUUGUCCAUGUAAAGGUUGCUAAUGUCGGAAGCCACGUAAAGUGCUUUGCCAAAACGUUGGAGCGUCAAAUUGACGGAAAUGUGGACUAGGUCGUCGUCGGAGGCAGAGAGCGCGCCAGGGAAUUCAUGCAAUGAGUUUAAACAGAGGGUUGGGAAACGAGUGCGACUACA